rnacentral:rRNA from 1 species
UACGUAGGUGGCAAGCGUUGUCCGGAAUUAUUGGGCGUAAAGCGCGCGCAGGCGGUCUUUUAAGUCUGAUGUGAAAGCCCACGGCUCAACCGUGGAAGGUCAUUGGAAACUGGGAGACUUGAGUACAGAAGAGGAAAGCGGAAUUCCACGUGUAGCGGUGAAAUGCGUAGAGAUGUGGAGGAACACCAGUGGCGGAGGCGGCUUUCUGGUCUGUAACUGACGCUGAGGCGCGAAAGCGUGGGGAGCAAACAGG